UUCUCAGUUUACUUCUGCGAGUUCUUUUAAUAUCCUGGGAUGCAGUUCAUCAGGCCCUGGAUAUUUGAAUUUGUUUAAAGUAACCAGUUAUUCCUGCGCUACCUCUUUAUUUUGUGAUGAAUUUCUCCUACUGUAUCUUCUGUUUCAUUUUCUCCUGAAUGAGCACCAUUUCCAUCUCAAGGUCA